rnacentral:lncRNA from 1 species
GACGCUGAAUCUUCCCAAAAUCAUUAAAUAAAAGAGAUUUUAAAGUAAAAAAGGCACAUAGGCUUAAAAAAAAUUUAAAUCAAAUAAAUAGGCCAAUAAUAAUAGUUGAGUGAGCUAGAACCACAGAACUCGGAAUGCCUAAUACCUUCUCCCGGGUUAACAUAAUUCCUUACCUAGAUUUUUGGUUUGCGGACUGUAAUACAAAGUAAAUCUUUUCGUCGAUUCGGGAUUUGAACUGGUAACUUGGGACACCCUGAAUAUUCCAAGAGGAGACUUUAAAUCUUUUAAUAACCAAGCCUAUUUUGAUUGUCCUUUAAUUGGAAAAACUCCCUUAUGUCCUUCCAGAUGUAGGAAAAAAGAGGUGUGACAGCUCUGCCGACUCUACUGGGGAUAAGAACCCAGAAUCUUUGAUUCAGGGUUCAAGAAUUCAGGAAUAGAAUUAUUGU